rnacentral:rRNA from 1 species
UACGUAGGGGGCAAGCGUUAUCCGGAUUUACUGGGUGUAAAGGGAGCGUAGACGGCGAUGCAAGCCAGAUGUGAAAGCCCGGGGCUCAACCCCGGGACUGCAUUUGGAACUGUAUAGCUAGAGUGUCGGAGAGGCAGGCGGAAUUCCUAGUGUAGCGGUGAAAUGCGUAGAUAUUAGGAGGAACACCGGUGGCGAAGGCGGCCAACUGGGCUUUAACUGACGCUGAGGCUCGAAAGUGUGGGGAGCAAACAGG